GACCAGACUCCUACGGGAGGCAGCAGUGGGGAAUAUUGGGCAAUGGGGGAAACCCUGACCCAGCGACGCCGCGUGAGGGAAGAAGGUUUUCGGAUUGUAAACCUCUGUCCUUGGUGACGAUAAUGACGGUAGCCAAGGAGGAAGCCACGGCUAACUACGUGCCAGCAGCCGCGGUAAUACGUAGGUGGCAAGCGUUAUCCGGAUUUACUGGGUGUAAAGGGCGUGUAGGCGGGACUGCAAGUCAGAUGUGAAAACCACGGGCUCAACCUGUGGCCUGCAUUUGAAACUGUAGUUCUUGAGUACUGGAGAGGCAGACGGAAUUCCUAGUGUAGCGGUGAAAUGCGUAGAUAUUAGGAGGAACACCAGUGGCGAAGGCGGGCUGCUGGACAGCAACUGACGCUGAGGCGCGAAAGCGUGGGGAGCAAACAGGAUUAGAUACCCGCGUAUU
rnacentral:rRNA from 1 species